AGGCAUUGGAAAAGAAUGAAGGUGCAGGGCAGGGGAAAGGAAAGUCAUAUUGACCAGGAAGGGAAGGAAAUUUUCACGAUACCAGUGAUCAGUGCCAAAGCCCCAUUGCCUGUGGAGAAGGUGAUGUUUGACUUCCUGUACAGCUGCAGUUCGUGUGGUGAAGGUGCUCCCACAAUGUGGUUGGGGAUCUGCACUGGAACCCUUCUGUUUGCGGGACAAAUAUAUAUAAGUGACAUGGAUUAAAAUCUAAUUUGCUUUGAUGGAGAUGUGUUGAAAAUGUUUGCAGUUACUGAUCUGCUGAACCAAAAUGACCCCUUUUAAACUGAUGAUUGGAC